GUCUGUAGGAGUUUUACGCACCAUGAUGCUAUGGCUCCAUCCAGACCUCCCAAGUCAGAUUCUCUGGAGAAAGAGUCUGGACAUCUGAACCUUUAAAAGCCCAGGUGAUUCUGAUGUAGCCCUGGUUGGAAUGCCUGGUCCAUUACACCUCUGUGACAUGGCUCCUUUCUUCCUCUCCAUGAUCCUUCAGGAAAGUAAAUAUAAUCUUAUAGAUUGAUCAGAAAGUGGAAAAAGAUUGAUUCACCAUUUUGAAGAACAGAAGAGUCUAACAUUUGAAGGGAAUGAGAAUGAAGAUACCCACGCAAACCCUUCCAAAGCUUUCAUGUGUUUCAAGUUAAAAAACAGGAUUUUGUGUGUGCAAAGGUGCUGCAAGCGGAGGCUGCUAAUGGCUCAUAACUGCCCCCUUCUCCAGAGAUUUCCUCUUGGACAUUUGCCUGGGAGGUUACCUCGCCACCCCCAGCCCAGGGGCAGCCCACCUGCAAGGGCUAAUGGACAUGAAGAAUACAAAAGACCAGCCAACCACAUCAAGGUGGAAGAAGGAUGCAAUUUCCUGAUGGGCAAAGGCAGGCAAAUGGGUCUUACUUCCACAUUGUCUCAGGAAACACAAUAAUAGUCACUUGGCUCUCACCAUAUCCCCUUGGAAAUCCCCAGGUGUGAUGCCAAACUCUAUCUCUGUGCACAGACAUGACUCAACUCUACAAUAAACCACCUGUGAACACAGUCAUCUCAGUUUCAAACAAUGAUUAGCUUC
rnacentral:lncRNA from 10 species